CAAUAGCAAAAACAGAUGUGGUUAUUAUUAUUAUUAUUAUUAUUAUUAUUAUUAUGUUAUUAUUUAUAUAGCGCCAACAAAUUCCAUAGCGCUUGACAGUGGGUGGACGAACAAGCAUGUAGUUGUAACCAGACAAGUUGGACAUACAGGAACAGAGGGAUGAGGGCCCUGAUCAAUGAGCUUACAUGCUAGAGGGAGUGAGGUAAAAUGACACAGAAAGGUAAGGAUAGUAUUAGACUAAUGACAGUUGCAGGAGAGGAAUCAGUCGGGAGCUAUUAACAGCUAUUAACAGUUUAAUUGAUACUCUUUUAUGAAGAAGUGGGUUUUUAAUGAUUUUUUGAAGGAGUGGAGACUGGGUGAGCAUCUAACGGAGGAGGGAAGUGAGUUUCACAGGAACGGUGCAGCCCUCGAGUCUUGAAGCAGAGCAUCAAGGUGGGAGUAUGGACAGAAGAUAGACGUAAGUCUUCAGCAGAGCGUAAGGGCCU